ensembl:lncRNA
CUUUAUCACGGCCAGGCAUGGGUGGAAACCCAAGUUCUCCACUCAGCCUUCACGGUCCCCAGAGGAGUCCUCAUUAUUGCUAGCAGGGGUGGAGUUAGGGACGUCCACUGAGACCUCCCCGGAGUGGUGGGUCGGCGCCAUUACCAUUCCCCGCAUGACCCGGAUGAUGGCGGGGUGGAGGAGGAGUCAGGAGUGGUUGCCUGAUUAGUUCCGGAAACUGGCGGAAAUGCUGGCUGUCCGUGUAGCAUCGCCUGGCACUGCCUCUGAGGGGGAGGAAAAAAGGAGGAAGCUACAAGCAAUUAGGUGUGUUUUGGCAUGUUUCACAAAUUUUAAGAUUACGUCUAUACUAGCAAAAGAGCUAUCUUGCAUAUCAAACCCACCAUGUGGAAAAACCUGACUAAAUAACAGGAGAACAGCCUUUCUGGAUUUAUUUUUUUCAGGCUUUUGGAGUGGAACGCUGGAACAAUGAGCAAGAGGCUUCUCUGGCGAAGGUGAAGUCCCGAACCAGGCAGAGAGGCCUGGGGGACACACCCCUGCUGUGUCCGAGGUGCCACAUGCUGUCGCUUGCUCUUUUGCCAGAACUGGACUUUCCCCCACCGACACCUGCUAAGCCACUUCUGUUCCCCAGAACUUCGCCUUUUUACCGCUGCUUCACCAAAGCCAGUUGCUGCUUCUUGUUUCCACUGACCUUUGCCAGCAAAAUGAACACAGCUUGGGCCCCGUUUCCUCCCACUGCACACUUGUGAACGGAAGUCUCAGGUGCAUGAAUCUGCCUGAUGGUGUUACUCUUGUACUGGGGACCCCGAAGGAUGGCCUAUAUCACAGCAAACCCACUACUCUGCCAGCACUCAGAGAAGAAAUGGGAAAUGCAUGUGCAGCAGUCUCAGUGACCGAAGCAGCAGUUUGUUGUACUAAUAACUGUCUGCAAGCUCAUGGCCACUGCUUUGAGCACUUCUUGUAAUUGUGGAG